GCCUAACAGACCGUGCGCGGGCGUCCGUAUACUCGAAGAAAAUCCGGCGGGCGCGCGCGCGCGCGUGUGUGUGCGGGGAGGGGAGGGGUCGGACGAAAAUACCGCGCGUAAAUUAUGCGCAAUUAUCGCAUUAUGCUGCACCUAUGGCCUCUGCUGGAUUAAUAUCGUUAACAUGUAUUUUUUCCCAUUGUAUGCGUCGCACACGCGCGUGUCCCUUCACCCCUCGGUCGAGUUAUUAUUAUUAUUGUCGCCACCGUACGCGUCGCGUGUCCCGUUUCGUCCGCACGCACGUUUAUUUAUAAACGGGAGAAGUGGCGAUCGGUUCGAAACGAGUCGAAAACCGAUUUUACCGUGUGUAACGGAUACGAAAUGAACCGACCGCGCAACAGCGCGUUACAGUUUAUGGUUCCGAUAAUACACCGGCGUUGAUGUUUUUGGCACUAGGUCGACGGUAUUUUUCAAUUUGUAUUCGUCAUUUUAUUUUAUUUAUUUUUUUUCAAUCGUCUUGUCCGCGAGACGUGUUUUAUUGCGAGAAAACGCAGGGCCGCGCGAUUAUGUUUCCAUAAUUUCGUGCGUGAUGAAAAUCUAAAAAUAACCCGACGCACUGCACGUCGUCACGCGCAUAGUGAUAACGCGCGAGAAUGUUGAACGUUUUAUUGCGGGUGCGCGGAAAACGGAAUGUCGUUUUUUUACGUUAAAUCGUCUAUAAUUAUUGUCCACAUCUACUCGAUACGAUGACCUAACCGUAUAGCCUUUUUUUUUUUUUUUUUUUUUUAUUAAUCGUCUGAAUUAUUUAUUUAUUUAAUUUUUCACCGCCGAAAACCAUUUUUCCCGUAAUUACAUAGUACUUAAUUAAAUUGUAAAUUUGCAUUCGAUUGACGAGUGCACAACGAAUAAUUUAAACAAAUAUUAAUACGUGUAUUUAUAGAUAAUAAUAUAUUGUGCA